rnacentral:tRNA from 1 species
GGUCCCAUAGUGUAGUGGUUAGCACAUCUGCUUUACACACAGAAGGUCCUGGGUUUGCACCCCAGUGGAGCCA